rnacentral:tRNA from 1 species
GGUCCUGUAGCUCAAUCGGGAGAGCGUCGCCUUGUCACGGCGAAGGUAGCGAGAUCGAAACUCGUCAGGUCCG